rnacentral:rRNA from 1 species
UACGGAGGGGGCUAGCGUUAUUCGGAAUUACUGGGCGUAAAGCGCACGUAGGCGGCUAUUCAAGUCAGAGGUGAAAGCCCGGAGCUCAACUCCGGAACUGCCUUUGAAACUAGAUAGCUAGAAUCACGGAGAGGUAAGUGGAAUUCCGAGUGUAGAGGUGAAAUUCGUAGAUAUUCGGAAGAACACCAGUGGCGAAGGCGGCUUACUGGACGUGAAUUGACGCUGAGGUGCGAAAGCGUGGGGAGCAAACAGG